GUUGAACGCUGGCGGCAGGCUUAACACAUGCAAGUCGAACGAUGAUUAUCUAGCUUGCUAGAUAUGAUUAGUGGCGGACGGGUGAGUAACAUUUAGGAAUCUGCCUAGUAGUGGGGGAUAGCUCGGGGAAACUCGAAUUAAUACCGCAUACGACCUACGGGUGAAAGGGGGCGCAAGCUCUUGCUAUUAGAUGAGCCUAAAUCAGAUUAGCUAGUUGGUGGGGUAAAGGCCCACCAAGGCGACGAUCUGUAACUGGUCUGAGAGGAUGAUCAGUCACACCGGAACUGAGACACGGUCCGGACUCCUACGGGAGGCAGCAGUGGGGAAUAUUGGACAAUGGGGGCAACCCUGAUCCAGCCAUGCCGCGUGUGUGAAGAAGGCCUUUUGGUUGUAAAGCACUUUAAGCAGGGAGGAGAGGCUAAUGGUUAAUACCCAUUAGAUUAGACUUUACCUGCAGAAUAAGCACCGGCUAACUCUGUGCCAGCAGCCGCGGUAAUACAGAGGGUGCGAGCGCUAAUCGGAAUUACUGGGCGUAAAGCGAGUGUAGGUGGCUCAUUAAGUCACAUGUGAAAUCCCCGGGCUUAACCUGGGAACUGCAUGUGAUACUGGUGGUGCUAGAAUAUGUGAGAGGGAAGUAGAAUUCCAGGUGUAGCGGUGAAAUGCGUAGAGAUCUGGAGGAAUACCGAUGGCGAAGGCAGCUUCCUGGCAUAAUAUUGACACUGAGAUUCGAAAGCGUGGGUAGCAAACAGGAUUAGAUACCCUGGUAGUCCACGCCGUAAACGAUGUCUACUAGCCGUUGGGGUCCUUGAGACUUUAGUGGCGCAGUUAACGCGAUAAGUAGACCGCCUGGGGAGUACGGCCGCAAGGUUAAAACUCAAAUGAAUUGACGGGGGCCCGCACAAGCGGUGGAGCAUGUGGUUUAAUUCGAUGCAACGCGAUGAACCUUACCUGGUCUUGACAUAGUGAGAAUCCUGCAGAGAUGCGGGAGUGCCUUCGGGAAUUCACAUACAGGUGCUGCAUGGCUGUCGUCAGCUCGUGUCGUGAGAUGUUGGGUUAAGUCCCGCAACGAGCGCAACCCUUUUCCUUAUUUGCCAGUGGGUUAAGCCGGGAACUUUAAGGAUACUGCCAGUGACAAACUGGAGGAAGGCGGGGACGACGUCAAGUCAUCAUGGCCCUUACGACCAGGGCUACACACGUGCUACAAUGGUAGGUACAGAGGGUUGCUACACAGCGAUGUGAUGCUAAUCUCAAAAAGCCUAUCGUAGUCCGGAUUGGAGUCUGCAACUCGACUCCAUGAAGUCGGAAUCGCUAGUAAUCGCAGAUCAGAAUGCUGCGGUGAAUACGUUCCCGGGCCUUGUACACACCGCCCGUCACACCAUGGGAGUCUAUUGCACCAGAAGUAGGUAGCCUAACGUAAGAGGGCGCUUACCACGGUGUGGUCGAUGACUGGGGUG
rnacentral:rRNA from 1 species